CUCCCCCAGAGCCAAGCGCCAGAAGAUACAUAAUGUUGCUGUCCAAUGUGAUGUCAACCCGAAGGCGAACGGUUCCCCGUCCUCUAUAGGUGACAUGCAGGUUGGAAAAGAGAAGCAUUUCAAGCAUUCCCCUGCCAGGCAUUUGGCCAUGAAGCCACUUAUGACUUUGGAGGUCCAGUCAUCAGAGUGUGAAGAGAUCCUUCCAAAUGCCUUGCGCCCAUGUUCCAGGAAGGCCAAGCAAGCAGCUCUUUCUGCUCUGCAGGAAGAGAAGGAAUCCUGGAGCGAUGAGGACGAGAUCUUCAUGGACCAGCGUGAGUGGAGGCUUCUGGGAAAAGCUGGGCCUUGUGGGUCUCAAGUUUAGAGCCUCAGCCUUAUUUCUUCUAAGCCAGCAGAAAGGCCACCUUGGCCAGGCGCCGCCUGCUUAUUGGGGAGAGUGUGGGGGAAUGGAGGUUGCCAAAGGGGGACAGCUAAAGCCUUAGAGAGGCAGAAGGGGAGUCCUUCAAAGGAGUGGGGCAGCCUCUCUGCACCUGGAAGGCAAUACCCAUCUAUCUUGCGU
rnacentral:lncRNA from 1 species